GCUUGCACCAUGAAGAUACCGUGCUGCCUAUUUGUUUCGCUGAUGGCUGUCAUACUUGUGCUGUGCCAGGAGGUCCAGGGAAGUACAAAUGACCAAUCUGUGAUAUCUCAGUUUGCCUCUUUUGGGAUUGUUUCCAAACUUGAGGAGAGAAGUGCUGAGAUACCAACCGCACAGGGUGGGAAUAAUCCCUUCAUGAAUAUCAUAGCUCGGAAAAGAAGAGCAGCUCCCUCCGUCGCCAAAAAGCCUAGCCCUUUCUGUACAGGAUGUUUUUCUGUCAUCGGAGACCCAACAACAUCGCAAUAGUGACCAAGAACCCUCGUGGAUACAUCAAGAUGUUGACAGAUGAAUGAAGUGUUAGUGAAGUGAAGUGAAGUGAAGUGAAACACACAUAUGUGUGGUUACUGUUUAUAAAAAAAAACACAAAAAAAACAAUGCAGCUAAGGACUACAACUGACCAUUUUGAAAUUGAAAUUCACAUUCUCCAACCACCACACAGGCCAGCAAUGAUGAUGAUGAUGAUGCGAUGGGACCCGUGCUCUCCAUGUUAUUACGUUUUUUUACGCUUUACCACAAUUACCUCACCUGACAGUCCUGAUUCCGCCAGGCCGUGUUUUAAGAGGUGGGUGUAGACCUGAGUGGUUAUUUUACAUCCAGGUGAUUACAGCCCCAGCGUGUCAUUAGGCACCACCACAUAGAAUUAUCCCAUUACAGGGCUAACCUCCCACACGUCACGGGGCCCCCCAAAGGCAUUAUGAUGACAGGACAGCGCUUCGAGACAAGCCAGCUGGGCUGGACUGCUGCGUCACAA